GGUGCAUGGCUGCUUGACUAGGGACUGCAUUUCCCAGCAUCCUCAGUGAUAAAUUAUGAUCAUGUGACUAAGUUAUCACCAAUCAGAUGAGUGGAAAUGUUGUGGCUCGCUUCUGGGUCUGGACUUCAAAAUAUCCCUGCAUGCCGUCUCCAACUUCUCUUCCUCCUCCUUGCACAUGGAAUCCUUUCGUGGUGGUGACCCAGCUUCAAUCAGGCAGAGGACCAUGAGGGCCUAGAGGCUGGCAGAGCAAUGAGUGGAAGGAACCUGGGUUUCUGAACGACCACGAGGAGAGAGCUUCCCACUCACCUGGACUGCUCAUCUCAGAAUUGCUACAUGAGCGAAAAAGAAACUGAUAUCCUUUCCACUGCUGCGUUCUGGAAUCUCCUUGUCAGCCUGCUCUACCAAAUACACUGAUUUAUACGUGGGACGCCUACCACAGCGUGGCUGCCAAGCAGUGCCAUGUCCGCACCCGGGAUCCGAACCAGCGAACCCCGGGCCACCGAGAAGCAGAACGUGCGAACUUAACCGCUGCGCCACCGGGCCGGCCCCCAAGACUGCUGUUAUUCUUAAGCAAAAAUAAAGACAACUGGAUCAGAACUUUAUUGAUGGCCUUACAUGUCUAUCUCCCAACGCAAAGGGUAUAGGGAACGAAUAAGGCAAGAUUUUCAAGUUAUUGAAGGAAGAAAAAUAUAAUUU
rnacentral:lncRNA from 1 species